rnacentral:rRNA from 1 species
AACGAACGCUGGCGGCAUGCCUAAUACAUGCAAGUCGAACGAUCACUUCGGUGGUAGUGGCGCACGGGUGCGUAACGCGUGGGAAUCUGUCCGUGGGGUCUGAAUAACGUCGGGCAACUGACGCUAAUACCGGAUGAUGACGUAAGUCCAAAGAUUCAUCGGCCAGGGAUGAGCCCGCGUAGGAUUAGCUAGUAGGCGGGGUAAAGGCCUACCAUGGCGACGAUCCUCAGCUGGUCUGAGAGGAUGAUCAGCCACACUGGGACGGAGACCGGGCCAAGACUCCUACGGGAGGCAGCAGAAGAGAAUAUUGACCAAAGAGGGCAACCCUGAGCCGGCAAUGCCGCGUGAGGAAUGAAGGCCUUAGGGUUGUAAAGAUCUUUUACCCGGGGUGAUAAUGGCAGCGCCGGGAGAAUAAGAGGUUUCUUACUCUGUGCCAGCCGCCGCCGUAA